GGGAGUGUAGUUUCAGAUUGGCUGUGUCGGCAACAGGCAAGCUGUGGGCUCUCCCACAAUGCACUGCUCUGUGAUCCAGAGGCACAGCCGCUCCUGCAGACAUGGAGACAGGUCAGGCCGUGCCAUCUCCACAGCAGCCUCACCACCAGCUCUAAAAGAGGUGCUUCCAGAACCCAGCGCCACAGGUUUUAUCUUAUGAAACACACACUGGUCUUACUUUUGAUUUAUCAUAAUAGCAGCCCGUGCCUUUUUUUUUUUUUAAACCGCAUCGCUUUUUUCCAAAGCACGUUCACGUUUGCUACCUGAUGGACGUCAGGCCACUAAUAAUUUUCCCAUUUUGCCCAUAAAGGACUAAGACCAUUGCAGUUUGACUAAGGUCACAGAGAACGUAAGCAGUAGAGUUGAAAUCCACAUCAGCCUUCUAUGGGAGCCAUGCCCCAACUCUCGACACGCCCAGAUGAAGAAGAACGGAAAAGAGAUUUGAUCUCUGUGCCUAUUAACCAUGCCAAUAGAAGGUUGUGUGAAAAACGAAGCUAUUGGUAGAAGUUUGGAAAAAAAUCUAGUGAUUAGACCAGCAGAAGACCUGAACUUCGGAGAAGACCACAAAUGAAUUAAAAGCCCAGUUCUCUUUUCAAAAGCUAACACGAAAUGAGGAUGGGUUUUAUACAAAAGCAGCUGCUCCUGCCAGUGAGCUUAUGCAUGUCUGUCUUUCAUAUGCCACAGUCAGACCUAGGAAAUUCCCUGGGAAGUCCCCUCUACCACAGUGCUUGCCGUUUCUCCAUUUGACUAUAAUUCUAUUGACUCUUGGGAGAUUGAUCUUCAGGAAGCUCUUAUCACAAAACAGCUCUUCCUGGAGUGAGGAGAGAGCAUGGUACCUGGGAAGACAAAGGGAGUGGACUGGGACAUGGGAAUCUGGUUCCCAUUUUAGUUCUACAACUAGCAGCCUGGUGGCUUUAGGAGGAGCCUGCCAUUUCCCUGGCCUCAGUGGUUUCAUCUGUAAAUUGGAACGGCCUGGAGACGAUAAAAGUGAAAGCAUCCAUCACCAUGCCUGGAAGUGCUCAAGAAAUGAUUCUUUCCUGCCUGCUGACUUCCAUUUUCCAUCUGUAAGAGCAAAGAGGAGAAGAGGCACAGGAAUUCCCAGGCAAGAAAUAAUAGAUAGUAAAAGCUGUUGCACGGAGCUCCUGGAAGGCUGGUGAGCAGCAAAUGGACAAGAGAAGCUAUUCGCAUCUUCCAAACUCUGAGACAAGACAUCCCGGGACAAAUCACUGUGAGGACUGCAGCCAGUUAUGGCAGAAGGUCCUGCAUUACUGAAUCUGGAGCUGGAGGAGUCCAGGAGACACCAGCAGUCAUUUUGCCAGAAAUAUCGAUCAGCCAGAGAAUACACGUCUGUGAACUGGGGAUUGACAUGGAAUCCAAUGAGCAUCCCAAACACUUCAAGCUCUAUUAGAUUCAUUAGUCAGAAGACCUCCUGGCAGAAUGACUUGUGUUGUGGCCUGAAUCAGCUUCUCCAGCUUUGGACUCCACUCAAGACUGAGUAACCUUAUGCCUUACUCAGCAACAUGGUCAGAGGAGGACAUCCAUAUGUGGAACAGUAACCAUCUACUUCAAGUGCAAAACACUCAGCUCUUUGCAGGGAAAGAAUAACAGCCUGAGAGUUGGGAGAGGGGAAUUCCAGGCUCAGCUCUCCUCAUCCAGAUCCCUUGUGAGGUUGACGGGGCAGUAGCAUGAGCCUUGUUUUGCAGACUUGGAAAUGGGAAACCCAAGAGAGUUUGAGAAGCCCCCCCUGCCACGGGUCCUCUAUCUUCCCCACAAGACUGCAAGCAUCAAGAGGGCAGGGCUUUUGCUCAUUUUCUAUCCUGUGAUUACAAUGCAAACACCCCACAUCAAAAUCAACACCCUAAUGAUCUUCACGGAUGCUGAGCGAGUGGUAUGUUGAAGAGAGGCAUGGCGGUGGUAAAGGAGGUAAAAGAGCCUCAAAGGCAAGUCAGGCUACUGUCCUCUUGUCCAGGUGGCCUUACGUGUUUUUUUUGUACAACCUCAUUAAUUGAAGGAGAAGCGGGUGACAGAGGAUGAGAUGGUUGGACGACAUCAUUGACUCAAUGGACAUGAGUCUGAGCAAACUUCAGGAGAUGGUGAAGGACCAGGAAGCCCAGCAUGCUGCAGUUUAUGGGGUUGCAGAGUUGGACAGGACUGAGCGACUGAACAGCAACAAUUUAUUUCACAUUCUUCAUCUCUGAUUUGAGCCCUGGACUUGUUACCGGCGCACAGUACCCCCAGACAGCCAGCAAGUGUGCCCUAGUGGUGUUGCCACAUGCUGAAAUUAGCCUCUUUGAGCAAUUCCUUUUUCUAAUGUUAGUGGAGGGAGUUCCCACCAUAAGGGUUUCUGGUUCAUUUGUGUUACUGGGUCUCUCAGGGCCACACUUCUGUUUUCAGAGAGAAUUUUGGCAUCGGGCUCCUUCUGACAUGUCAGGCUGAAAAGUGAUUUUGAGCCAAAAGUUCUGUUGCUUCAUUUCGGUUAUUUAUGAGAGGCUGGUAUUUUCUGCUAACAAAGACAAUGGGAAAUUUCAAAACCUAAAAAUUAUCAAGCUGUUGGGAUAAUGGUGGGAAAAUAGAAAUUGCAAAGUAUUUCUCAACAGUUGGAGUAACUUGCCUUCCAUAUUUUUUCCCAAGAUAAUUAUGAAGAUAAAUGCCACUUGCCUUUUGGAAUCUUUUUGCUGAUAAGUAUGAAACUAUUCCAGGGAGAUUCUGAAUGCCGGGUCCCCAUGACCACACACUCCUAUAGGAGAAUGCAAUCUGCCUGUACUUUCAUCUGUUGGUUAGUGAACGAAUGGAAGAAUAAGUGAAUGAGAAAACCACUCAGCUACACACACACACACACAUUGCCACACAUACUCAUGCAUUACUUAGUUUGAGGCUAGAUUGUUUCUUUAUCUUAAAAAAUGUGGGGGGUUUCUCUGAUUAUAAAACUAACAUGUCAUUAUAAAAUGCUUGGAAAAUACAGAAAAGUAUAAAGAAAAAAAUAAAGACAUCCAUAAUCCAGCCUCACAGAAAGAUCUUAUUAACACUGAGGUUUAUAUCACAUGAUUGUUUUUUUGAGCAUGUAAAUGUUGCAUGGCUGAGAUGUUACUGUGCAUACUGUUAAUAUCUGUAUUAGAAUUCUAAGAUAAUUCCCCAAUGCCUGAUACCCUUGAUUUAUCUCCUUCUCCUGGAGCAUGGGCAGAAGUGACCUGCAAAUGGGAAAUAGAUAUCACUCCCAUGACUGGGUUAUGUUACAAUGGGCUUUACGAAAAGGAGAUUAUCCCAGGUGGGUCUGACCCAAUCAGGUGAACCUUAUAAGAGACUGGACUUUUCCUGGACACAGAGAUAUGAAGCAUGAGAAGGAUUUAAAGUGAAGGAGAUUCUCUCUUGGUGGCCUUGAAGAUACAGAGGGCCACAGGGCAAAUAAUUCUGGAAGGUUUCAGAAGUUAAGAGCAGUCCUGACUGACAUCCAAUAAAGAGACAGGACCUCAGUCCUACAACCACAAGGAACUAUAUUCUCAAACUAGUUGAAUGAGUUUAAAAGAAGACCCCAGCUCCAGAUGAAGACUCACCCAGGCCAACACAUUCAUUUUUGUCAUGAGACCCCACAUCUACAGAACCACAAAAUAAUAAGUGCCUACAUUUGUAGUAAUUUGCCAUGUUGCAAUAGAAAAAUGACCAAAUAUUCUUUUUCAUUCACAUUACAACAUAAACCUUUUUUCCUAUUAUUGUUAAUUAAAAUUUUCAUAUUUUACAUAUUAGCCCCCAAUUAAAUAAAUUUAAAUUUAAAAAAAAGAAAGGAAAAAAGUUCAUAUUUUCAUCUAAUAAGUGUACAGAUCAUUUGUUGUUGUUCAGUUACUCAGUCCUGUCUGAUUCUUCAUGAC